GACGAACGCUGGCGGCGUGCUUAACACAUGCAAGUCGAACGGAAAGGCCCUGCUUUUGUGGGGUGCUCGAGUGGCGAACGGGUGAGUAACACGUGAGUAACCUGCCCUUGACUUUGGGAUAACUUCAGGAAACUGGGGCUAAUACCGGAUAGGAGCUCCUGCUGCAUGGUGGGGGUUGGAAAGUUUCGGCGGUUGGGGAUGGACUCGCGGCUUAUCAGCUUGUUGGUGGGGUAGUUGCUUACCAAGGCUUUGACGGGUAGCCGGCCUGAGAGGGUGACCGGCCAAAUUGGGACUGAGAUACGGACCAGACUCCUACGGGAGGCAGCAGUGGGGAAUAUUGCACAAUGGGCGGAAGCCUGAUGCAGAAAAGCCGCGUGCGGGAUGACGGCCUUCGGGUUGUAAACCGCUUUCGACUGUGACGAAGCGUGAGUGACGGUAAUGGGUAAAGAAGCACCGGCUAACUACGUG
rnacentral:rRNA from 1 species